rnacentral:lncRNA from 1 species
GAAGGCAUCAUGGACCAUGAACCAAACAUAUUGUGAUUGCCUUGCUGAUCCUGAUAAUGAGCAUUUACAGUGUGCCAGAAGUUAGGACGGCCAGCAGCAAUCUGAUCAGGUAAAGAACAGAAUCCCUGCUGAUUUUGUAGAUCUUUAGGUUGCUGAUAUCCAGAUAAUCCAGAUAACAUCUCAUUGUAACUCUCAGGCCUGCUCAUCUGCAUCCAACUAUCUGAACCCAGCUUCCUCUGCGUACCAAUGGUACUCUUCUCCCGAUCAAAUCCUGAUGGUCGCAAGACUGACUGCUGAGCAGCAUCCAGCUCACUUUUAUCACCAAAAGCACUUUUUGGGGUUGCAU